GAUGAACGCUGGCGGCGUGCCUAAUACAUGCAAGUCGAGCGAACGGACGAGAAGCUUGCUUCCCUGAUGUUAGCGGCGGACGGGUGAGUAACACGUGGAUAACCUACCUAUAAGACUGGGAUAACUUCGGGAAACCGGAGCUAAUACCGGAUAAUAUUUUGAACCGCAUGGUUCAAAAGUGAAAGACGGUCUUGCUGUCACUUAUAGAUGGAUCCGCGCUGCAUUAGCUAGUUGGUAAGGUAACGGCUUACCAAGGCAACGAUGCAUACCCGACCUGAGAGGGUGAUCGGCCACACUGGAACUGAGACACGGUCCAGACUCCUACGGGAGGCAGCAGUAGGGAAUCUUCCGCAAUGGGCGAAAGCCUGACGGAGCAACGCCGCGUGAGUGAUGAAGGUCUUCGGAUCGUAAAACUCUGUUAUUAGGGAAGAACAUAUGUGUAAGUAACUGUGCACAUCUUGACGGUACCUAAUCAGAAAGCCACGGCUAACUACGUG
rnacentral:rRNA from 1 species